UACGUAGGGAGCAAGCGUUGUCCGGAAUCAUUGGGCGUAAAGCGCGCGUAGGCGGCCCCGUAAGUUCGCUGUGAAAGUCAAAGGCUCAACCUUUGAAAGCCGGUGGAUACUGUGGGGCUAGAGUACGGAAGAGGCGAGUGGAAUUCCUGGUGUAGCGGUGGAAUGCGCAGAUAUCAGGAGGAACACCAAUAGCGAAGGCAGCUCGCUGGGACGUUACUGACGCUGAGGCGCGAAAGCGUGGGGAGCGAACAGG
rnacentral:rRNA from 1 species